rnacentral:rRNA from 1 species
CUGCCUACCAAGACUGUGAUCGGUAGCUGACCUGAGAGGAUGAUCAGCCACACCGGGACUGAGACACGGACCGGACUCCUACGGGAGGCAGCAGUGGGGAAUAUUGGACAAUGGGCGAAAGCCUGAUCCAGCGAUGUCGCGUGAGUGAUGAAGGCCUUCGGGUUGUAAAGCUCUUUUGUCGGGGAAGAUAAUGACGGUACCCGAAGAAUAAGUGCCGGCUAACUUCGUGCCAGCAGCCGCGGUAAUACGAAGGGCACAAGCGUUACUCGGAAUCACUGGGCGUAAAGAGUGCGUAGGCGGUGUUGUAAGUUAGAUGUGAAAGACUAAGGCUCAACCUUAGAACUGCAUUUAAAACUGCUACACUGGAGUUUGAUAGAGAGGAAUGGAAUUUCUAGUGAAGGGGUGAAAUCCGUAGAUAUUAGAAGGAACACCAAAGGCGAAGGCAAUUCCUUGGGUCAAUACUGACGCUGAUGCACGAAAGCGUGGGGAGCAAACAGGAUUAGAUACCCUGGUAGUCCACGCCGUAAAUGAUGAUACUAAUCGUCGGGGUUUUUACUUCGGUGGUACAGCUAACGCGUUAAGUAAUCCGCCUGGGUAGUACGGCCGCAAGGCUAAAACUUAAAGGAAUUGGCGGGGACCCGCACAAGCGGUGGAGCAUCUGGUUUAAUUCGAUACUAACCGAAGAGCCUUACCAUCCCUUGCAUGUAUAUAUCGGAAUUUCUUAAAGUGAGUUCCACCCUCGGGAGGUAUACACAGGUGAUGCAUGGUUGUCGUCAGCUCGUGUCGUGAGAUGUUGGGUUAAGUCCCUUAACGAGCGCAACCCUUGUCUUUAUUUGCUAACAGAUUAUGCUGAGAACUAUAGAGAGACUGCCUGUGAAAGCAGGAGGAAGGAGAGGAUGAUGUCAAAUCAUCAUGUCCCUUAUGGGAUGGGCUACACAGGUGCUACAAUGGAGUGUACAGAGUGUCGCAAUGUAGUAAUACGGAGCUAAUCACUAAAACACCCCUCAGUACGGAUUGAGGCUUGCAAUUCAGCCUCAUGAAGCUGGAAUCGCUAGUAAUCGCGGAUCAGAAUGCCGCGGUGAAUACGUUCCCGGGUCUUGCACACACUGCCCGUCAAGGCAUGGGAGUCGAGAGUACUUAAAAAUAAUAUCGCUAACUGCAAAGAAGCGAUUAUUUAGGGUAAUAUCGAUGACUGAGCUUAAGUCGUAACAAGGUAGCCGUAGGGGAAUCUGCGGCUG